AAUCAGGUGCGGUUGAGGAACUUUAUUGAAGAUCCAGUACUCAUCAACAGGCUCCACUCAGAGGUUAAGUUGUUGAGAUCAUUAAAGAACAAGUACAUCAUUGUUUGCUACAAUGUUUGGUUGGAUGAGGAGCCUAGUACACUGAAUUUUAUCACUGAGGUGUGCACAUCUGGAAAUUUAAGAAAUUACAGGGAGAAGCAUCGCCAUGUCUCCUUGAAAGCC
rnacentral:misc_RNA from 1 species